UACGAAGGGGGCUAGCGUUGCUCGGAAUGACUGGGCGUAAAGGGCGCGUACGCGGCGGACACAGUCAGAUGUGAAAUUCCCGGGCUCAACCUGGGGGCUGCAUUUGAUACGUGUUUGCUUGAGUGGGAAGAGGGUCGUGGAAUUCCCAGUGUAGAGGUGAAAUUCGUAGAUAUUGGGAAGAACACCGGUGGCGAAGGCGGCGACCUGGUCCUUGACUGACGCUGAGGCGCGAAAGCGUGGGGAGCAAACAGG
rnacentral:rRNA from 1 species